AGUUUGAUCCUGGCUCAGGAUGAACGCUGGCGGCGUGCCUAAUACAUGCAAGUCGAACGAACUUCCGUUAAUUGAUUAUGACGUACUUGUACUGAUUGAGAUUUUAACACGAAGUGAGUGGCGAACGGGUGAGUAACACGUGGGUAACCUGCCCAGAAGUAGGGGAUAACACCUGGAAACAGAUGCUAAUACCGUAUAACAGAGAAAACCGCAUGGUUUUCUUUUAAAAGAUGGCUCUGCUAUCACUUCUGGAUGGACCCGCGGCGUAUUAGCUAGUUGGUGAGGUAAAGGCUCACCAAGGCAGUGAUACGUAGCCGACCUGAGAGGGUAAUCGGCCACAUUGGGACUGAGACACGGCCCAGACUCCUACGGGAGGCAGCAGUAGGGAAUCUUCCACAAUGGACGCAAGUCUGAUGGAGCAACGCCGCGUGAGUGAAGAAGGGUUUCGGCUCGUAAAGCUCUGUUGUUAAAGAAGAACGUGGGUAAGAGUAACUGUUUACCCAGUGACGGCAUUUAACCAGAAAGCCACGGCUAACUACGUGCCAGCAGCCGCGGUAAUACGUAGGUGGCAAGCGUUAUCCGGAUUUAUUGGGCGUAAAGCGAGCGCAGGCGGUCUUUUAAGUCUAAUGUGAAAGCCUUCGGCUCAACCGAAGAAGUGCAUUGGAAACUGGGAGACUUGAGUGCAGAAGAGGACAGUGGAACUCCAUGUGUAGCGGUG
rnacentral:rRNA from 1 species